UACGUAGGGAGCAAGCGUUGUUCGGAUUUAUUGGGCGUAAAGAGCGUGUAGGCGGCCAGACAGGUCCGUUGUGAAACUCGAGGCUCAACCUCGAGACGCCGAUGGAAACCGUCUGGCUAGAGUCCGGAAGAGGAGAGUGGAAUUCCUGGUGUAGCGGUGAAAUGCGCAGAUAUCGGGAAGAACACCCGUGGCGAAGGCGGCUCUCUGGGACGGUACUGACGCUGAGACGCGAAAGCGUGGGAGCGAACAGG
rnacentral:rRNA from 1 species